GCGGGGGUCGCCUAGCCUGGUAGGGCGUAGGAUUGCUAAUCCUAUGUCCGCAAGGACACGGGGGUUCAAAUCCCCCUCCCCGCGCCA
rnacentral:tRNA from 4 species